rnacentral:rRNA from 1 species
UACAGAGGCCUCAACCGUUGUUCGGAAUCACUGGGCGUAAAGGGUGCGUAGGCGGCUUGGUAAGUCAGAUGUGAAAUCCCGGGGCUCAACCUCGGAAUUGCAUCCGAUACUGCCAUGCUAGAGGACUGGAGAGGAGUCUGGAAUUCACGGUGUAGCAGUGAAAUGCAUAGAUAUCGUGAGGAACACUAGUGGCGAAGGCGAGACUCUGGACAGUAUCUGACGCUGAGGCACGAAGGCCAGGGGAGCGAACGGG